rnacentral:rRNA from 1 species
UACGAAGGGGGCUAGCGUUGUUCGGAAUCACUGGGCGUAAAGCGUACGUAGGCGGACCGUUAAGUCGGGGGUGAAAUCCCAGGGCUCAACCCUGGAACUGCCUUCGAUACUGGCGGUCUGGAGUCCGGGAGAGGUGAGUGGAACUCCUAGUGUAGAGGUGAAAUUCGUAGAUAUUAGGAAGAACACCGGUGGCGAAGGCGGCUAUCUGGACCGUAACUGACGCUGAGGCGCGAAAGCGUGGGGAGCAAACAGGG